UAAUACAGAGGUGGCAAGCGUUGUUCGGAAUUACUGGGCGUAAAGGGCGCGUAGGCGGCCCGUCAAGUCCCGUGUGAAAGCCCCCGGCUCAACCGGGGAACGGCGCGGGAAACUAGCAGGCUUGAGUUCGGGAGAGGGAAGCGGAAUUCCGGGUGUAGCGGUGAAAUGCGCAGAUAUCCGGAGGAACACCGGUGGCGAAGGCGGCUUCCUGGACCGACACUGACGCUGAGGCGCGAAAGCUAGGGGAGCAAACGGG
rnacentral:rRNA from 1 species